GUAUUGAUUGGUGCUUGCAUCAUGAUUUACAUUUGAGUGAGUGGCGAACUGGUGAGUAACACGUGGGAAACCUGCCCAGAAGCGGGGGAUAACACCUGGAAACAGAUGCUAAUACCGCAUAACAACUUGGACCGCAUGGUCCGAGUUUGAAAGAUGGCUUCGGCUAUCACUUUUGGAUGGUCCCGCGGCGUAUUAGCUAGAUGGUGGGGUAACGGCUCACCAUGGCAAUGAUACGUAGCCGACCUGAGAGGGUAAUCGGCCACAUUGGGACUGAGACACGGCCCAAACUCCUACGGGAGGCAGCAGUAGGGAAUCUUCCACAAUGGACGAAAGUCUGAUGGAGCAACGCCGCGUGAGUGAAGAAGGGUUUCGGCUCGUAAAACUCUGUUGUUAAAGAAGAACAUAUCUGAGAGUAACUGUUCAGGUAUUGACGGUAUUUAACCAGAAAGCCACGGCUAACUACGUGCCAGCAGCCGCGGUAAUACGUAGGUGGCAAGCGUUGUCCGGAUUUAUUGGGCGUAAAGCGAGCGCAGGCGGUUUUUUAAGUCUGAUGUGAAAGCCUUCGGCUCAACCGAAGAAGUGCAUCGGAAACUGGGAAACUUGAGUGCAGAAGAGGACAGUGGAACUCCAUGUGUAGCGGUGAAAUGCGUAGAUAUAUGGAAGAACACCAGUGGC
rnacentral:rRNA from 1 species